CUGGAGUCCAUCCGUUUAUUUUAAUUAUUUUUGUCACUUUUAUGCAAGCAUAUAUUCUAGUUUAUAUAUUUUAGCAUAUAUUUCGCAUUUUUACUAUUAAUAACAUUUGUUGGAAAGACCAAAUUGAUUAGUCAGUACACAGGAAGAUUGCCCUACUCUUAACUCUUACUGUCGUUCCAACUGAAGUGUUGCUCAAAUAUUGAUUCAAUACAUUACCUCGGGUACCUUGGAUUCCAGAGCCUUCGACAGUAAACUAAUAAAUUGAAAUGUCGCGAAGGCCGUCUGGUUCAACGGGGCGAUUCUUUGAUUAAACCGCGCCAAUCACAAAACAGAAUUAGUGGUUUUAGUACAUUUUCAACAGGAAGUUUACAAUAAUACUAGCAAGUGUAUGAAUAUCUCGAGGAACUUGAUGAAAUGAAUUGGUCAGCCCGAGGUAAUGUAUUGAAUCAAUAUUUGAGCAACACUUCAAUUGGAACGACAGUAAGUACAAAUUGCCCGACUAAUGAUACCCUGGAUUCCAGAGCCUUCGACAGUAAAUAAUAAAUUGAAACGUCGCGAAGGCUCUGGUUCAACGGGAAGAUUCUUUGAUUAAACCGCGCCAAUUCACAAAACAGAAUUAGUGGUUUUGUACUAAAACCACUAAUUCUGUUUUGUGAUUGGCGCGGUAAAUGAUGCAACGAAGGAAACAGCAACGAUGGAAACAGAGUUAGUCAAAUUUAGUUGAAGGAUCUUGUUUUCGAGUGGUAGAGUGGUUUUUGAAUUUAUAUACAUUUAUUAGACCUAACCAGGAACAGCUGCAAAAAAUACAAAGCCUAAAAAAAUACCUGUGGUUCCGGACCGACCCUAUUUUUUUCUACCGACCCUAUUUUUUUCUCCAGGUGGUUGCGGGCUGCUCUUACAGCGUGCCAAAAUGGCUUCUGUUGUCACACUAACUAGCGAGCUUAUGCGUUGCGUGUUUGGCAACACGAACGUUGACCGGAAGCAAAUUUGACGUUAUCAACCAAUCAACAUUCUUGACCCAGUCUUUUGACGUUACUCAUGCCGUUCCAAUC